CAAAUACCAAAAAGCAAAGAUUAAAAAUCUAGAGUAGAGUUUAGACUCUCAAAAAUACAAUAUUGAAAAUGCAGAGUUGCGGAAAAGAUGGCGGAGGAAUAGGACGGGAAGACUACUUUCUCCCUCACAAAUUCCUCAAAAGAACAUUUCAACGCUGAGCAAACUUCACAAAACAACUUCUGUAGGCUGGCAGAGGACAUCAGGUAACCAGAAAAGCAGACCAUUGUCUUCAAAAACAGCUUUGGUUGUCAAGACUAUAUUUCUUGGACUCCAAAAUCACUGCAGAUAGCGACUGCAGCCGUGAAAUUAAAAGAUACUUGCUCCUUGGAAGAAAAGCUAUGACGAUCUUAGACAGCAUAUUAAAAAGCAGAAACAUUACUGACAAAGGUUCAUCUGGUCAAAGCUAAGAUUGAAAGCAAGCUGAAGCUCCAAUACUUUGGCCCCCUGAUGGGAAGAUUGGACUCAUUGGAAAAGACCCUGAUACUGGGAAAGAUUGAAAGCAGGAGGAGAAGGAGACAGCUGAGGAUGAGAUGGUUGGAUGUCAUCACAAACUCAAUGGACAAGCUCCAGGAGUUAGUCAUGGCUAGGGAAGCCUAGUGUACUGCAGUCUAUGGGGUCACAAAGAGUCAGACGUGACUGAGCAGCUAAACUAAACUGACUGAUAAGUGAGGAUAUAGAUUUGUUUUUCUCUGUCUGGCUUCUUUUAUAAUGAGAUCCAGCUUUAUCCACAUUGUCACAAAAGGUUUCUGCUGAUAAAUUGGUUGGAGAUUUUAUUGAAGACUCCGUGCCUUACCACUGUUGCCAUUAAACAGGCAUUUGUGGGAUUGCUUGCUCAAUAUCCAUCUCCUCCACCGGAACUAUGUAUCUCUGCUGAUCAGACUGCCAGCCCAGGGCCUGCCCCUGAGUGUGGAGAGAAUGAGACUGGCUUGAGGCCAAAGGCUCCAAGGAUCAGGAUCUCUAUAAUAUGUGAGUUCCUGUCUGUGAGAGCUGGGCUUGCACAGUCUUGAGGGCCCCUAGGGACAGUUUGCCUGGGCUCCAGGAACUGUAAGUACUGUUUCAACCUCUCUCUGUAGAGUGAGUCUGAGGCCCAGCUCCAUUGCUGCCAGGGGCUGGGAGUUUGCAGGGCCUCCCUCUCCUCCUUCAGCCUGCUUUCUGCUGUUGCUGGGCAGAGCAGGGAGGGGAGGAGGGAGCAGAGCCUGAGUGAGCAGUUUGUUCAGAAGGGAUUGGUUAGACCAGGU
ensembl:lncRNA